GACGAGCGCUGGCGGCGUGCUUAACACAUGCAAGUCGAACGGAAAGGCCCUGCUUUUGUGGGGUGCUCGAGUGGCGAACGGGUGAGUAACACGUGAGUAACCUGCCCUUGACUUUGGGAUAACUUCAGGAAACUGGGGCUAAUACCGGAUAGGAGCUCCUGCUGCAUGGUGGGGGUUGGAAAGUUUCGGCGGUUGGGGAUGGACUCGCGGCUUAUCAGCUUGUUGGUGGGGUAGUGGCUUACCAAGGCUUUGACGGGUAGCCGGCCUGAGAGGGUGACCGGCCACAUUGGGACUGAGGUACGGCCCAGACUCCUACGGGGGGCAGGAGUGGGGAAUAUUGCACAAUGGGCGGAAGCCUGAUGCAGCAACGCCGCGGGCGGGAUGACGGCCUUCGGGGUGUAAACCGCUUUCGCCUGUGACGAAGCGUGAGUGACGGUAAUGGGUAAAGAAGCACCGGCUAACUACGUG
rnacentral:rRNA from 1 species